rfam:Arabidopsis thaliana chromosome 2, complete sequence.
AAACCAUGAUGAGGACGUUGCGUCUGAUAUCCCUUGAAGCGCUCCCAUGCUUCACAGAAAGUCUCAGCAUUUUUCUGGGUGAAACCAAAAAUCUCAUACCGGAGUCU